rnacentral:rRNA from 1 species
AGAGUUUGAUCAUGGCUCAGAACGAACGCUGGCGGCAGGCUUAACACAUGCAAGUCGAGCGCCCAGCAAUGGGAGCGGCGGACGGGUGAAUAACGCGUGGGAAUAUGCCCUUUGGUACGGAACAACUCAGGGAAACUUGAGCUAAUACCGUAUGAGCCGGUAACGGGAAAGAUUUAUCGCCAAAGGAUUAGCCCGCGUCCGAUUAGCUAGUUGGUGAGGUAAUGGCUCACCAAGGCACCGAUCGGUAGCUGGUCUGAGAGGACGACCAGCCACACUGGGACUGAGACACGGCCCAGACUCCUACGGGAGGCAGCAGUGGGGAAUCUUGGACAAUGGAGGAAACUCUGAUCCAGCCAUGCCGCGUGAGUGAUGAAGGCCUUAGGGUUGUAAAACUCUUUCGGCGGGGACGAUAAUGACGGUACCCGCAGAAGAAGCUCCGGCUAACUUCGUGCCAGCAGCCGCGGUAAUACGAAGGGGGCUAGCGUUGUUCGGAAUUACUGGGCGUAAAGCGCGCGCAGGCGGCCUUUCAAGUCAGGGGUGAAAGCCCGGAGCUCAACUCCGGAAUUGCCUUUGAAACUGUUAGGCUUGAGUACGGGAGAGGUGAGUGGAAUUCCCAGUGUAGAGGUGAAAUUCGUAGAUAUUGGGAAGAACACCGGUGGCGAAGGCGGCUCACUGGCCCGUAACUGACGCUCAGCGCGACAGCGUGGGGAUCAAACAGGAUUAGAUACCCUGGUAGUCCACGCCGUAAACGAUGAACGCUAGCCGUUGGCAGGCUUGCUUGUCAGUGGCGCAGCUAACGCAUUAAGCGUUCCGCUGGGGAGUACGGCGCAGGGUGAAACUCAAGGAAUUGACGGGGCCCGCACAAGCGGUGGAGCAUGUGUUUAAUUCGACGCACGCGCAGAACCUUCCAGGUUUGACAUUCGUGCCAUGCUCAGAG